GAGGAAUAUUGGUCAAUGGGCGGGAGCCUGAACCAGCCAAGUCGCGUGAAGGAAGAAGGAUCUAUGGUUCGUAAACUUCUUUUGCAGGGGAAUAAAGUGCAGGACGUGUCCUGUUUUGUAUGUACCCUGAGAAUAAGGAUCGGCUAACUACGUGCCAGCAGCCGCGGUAAUACGGAGGAUCCGAGCGUUAUCCGGAUUCAUUGGGUUUAAAGGGUGCGUAGGUGGUUUGAUAAGUCAGCGGUGAAAGUUUGCAGCUUAACUGUAAAAAUGCCGUUGAAACUGUCGGACUUGAGUGUAAAUGAGGUAGGCGGAAUGCGGGGUGUAGCGGUGAAAUGCAUAGAUAUCACGCAGAACUCCGAUUGCGAAGGCAGCUUACUAAGCUACAACUGACACUGAAGCACGAAAGCGUGGGGAUCAAACA
rnacentral:rRNA from 1 species